rnacentral:rRNA from 1 species
AUGCAAGUCGAGCGGUUGAAGGUAGCUUGCUACCUGAUGCAGCGGCGAACGGGUGAGUAAUGCAUGGGAAUCUGCCUGGUAGUGGGGGACAACGUCUCGAAAGGGACGCUAAUACCGCAUACGCCCUACGGGGGAAAGGGGGGGAUCUUCGGACCUCUCGCUAUCAGAUGAGCCCAUGUCAGAUUAGCUUGUUGGUGAGGUAAAGGCUCACCAAGGCGACGAUCUGUAACUGGUCUGAGAGGAUGAUCAGUCACACUGGAACUGAGACACGGUCCAGACUCCUACGGGAGGCAGCAGUGGGGAAUAUUGGACAAUGGGCGAAAGCCUGAUCCAGCCAUGCCGCGUGUGUGAAGAAGGCCCUAGGGUUGUAAAGCACUUUCAGUGGGGAGAAAAGUGAUUCACUUAAUACGUGAGUUAAUUGAUGUUACCCACAGAAGAAGCACCGGCUAACUCCGUGCCAGCAGCCGCGGUAAUACGGAGGGUGCAAGCGUUAAUCGGAAUUACUGGGCGUAAAGCGCACGUAGGUGGUUUGUUAAGCUAGCCGUGAAAUCCCCGGGCUCAACCUGGGCACUGCGGUUAGAACUGGCAAGCUAGAGUAGGGUAGAGGGGUGUGGAAUUCCAGGUGUAGCGGUGAAAUGCGUAGAUAUCUGGAGGAACAUCAGUGGCGAAGGCGACACCCUGGACUCAUACUGACACUGAG